AGUGAACGCUGGCGGUAGGCCUAACACAUGCAAGUCGAACGGCAGCACAGUAAGAGCUUGCUCUUACGGGUGGCGAGUGGCGGACGGGUGAGGAAUACAUCGGAAUCUACUUUUUCGUGGGGGAUAACGUAGGGAAACUUACGCUGAUACCGCAUACGACCUACGGGUGAAAGCAGGGGAUCUUCGGACCUUGCGCGAUUGAAUGAGCCGAUGUCGGAUUAGCUAGUUGGCGGGGUAAAGGCCCACCAAGGCGACGAUCCGUAGCUGGUCUGAGAGGAUGAUCAGCAACACUGGAACUGAGACACGGUCCAGACUCCUACGGGAGGCAGCAGUGGGGAAUAUUGGACAAUGGGCGCAAGCCUGAUCCAGCCAUACCGCGUGGGUGAAGAAGGCCUUCGGGUUGUAAAGCCCUUUUGUUGGGAAAGAAAAGCAGCAGGUUAAUACCCCGCUGUUCUGACGGUACCCAAAGAAUAAGCACCGGCUAACUUCGUG
rnacentral:rRNA from 1 species